rnacentral:rRNA from 1 species
GGCUCAGAGUGAACGCUGGCGGCAGGCCUAACACAUGCAAGUCGAACGGUAGCACAGAGGAGCUUGCUCCUUGGGUGACGAGUGGCGGACGGGUGAGGAAUACAUCGGAAUCUACCCUGUCGUGGGGGAUAACGUAGGGAAACUUACGCUAAUACCGCAUACGAACUGAGGUUGAAAGCGGCGGACCGCAAGGCGUCGCGCGAUUGGAUGAGCCGAUGUCCGAUUAGCUAGUUGGUGGGGUAAAAGCCUACCAAGGCGACGAUCGGUAGCUGGUCUGAGAGGAUGAUCAGCCACACUGGGACUGAGACACGGCCCAGACUCCUACGGGAGGCAGCAGUGGGGAAUAUUGGACAAUGGGCGCAAGCCUGAUCCAGCAAUGCCGCGUGGGUGAAGAAGGCCUGCGGGUUGUAAAGCCCUUUAAGCGGGGAGGAAAGCCGGGGUGUGAAUAGCGCCUCGGGGUGACGUUACCCGCAGAAUAAGCACCGGCUAACUCCGUG